rnacentral:rRNA from 1 species
CCUUACCUACCCUUGACAUGUACGGAACGGGGCAGAGACGUCCCAGUGCCCGAAAGGGAACCGUAACACAGGUGCUGCAUGGCUGUCGUCAGCUCGUGUCGUGAGAUGUUGGGUUAAGUCCCGCAACGAGCGCAACCCUUACCAUUAGUUGCUACAUUCAGUUGGGCACUCUAAUGGGACUGCCGGUGACAAACCGGAGGAAGGUGGGGAUGACGUCAAGUCCUCAUGGCCCUUAUGGGUAGGGCUUCACACGUAAUACAAUGGCCGGUACAGAGGGUUGCCAACCCGCGAGGGGGAGCCAAUCCCAGAAAGCCGGUCGUAGUCCGGAUUGUUCUCUGCAACUCGAGAGCAUGAAGUCGGAAUCGCUAGUAAUCGCGGAUCAGCACGCCGCGGUGAAUACGUUCCCGGGUCUUGUACACACCGCCCGUCACACCAUGGGAGUGGGUUUCACCAGAAGCAGCUAGCCUAACCGCAAGGAGGGCGGCUUCCACGGUGAGAUUCAUGACUGGGGUGAAGUCGUAACAAGGUAGGCGUAGAUGA